rnacentral:tRNA from 1 species
CCUCCUUUUAAGGGAGACCAACUGGGAUCAAAGCAUUGGUUAAAAUUAAGCUUUGAAAGACCAGGAAUCCUGAUUAGAAGGUCGGUCGUGCGAGGAAACAAAGGGUAAAAAAAGCUUUCCAACUAUGCUUAGGGUUCGUCUUACUUAAGAGUUAAGAGUUAAUUUUUAACAAUUAACAGCAAGGGCUAUUAGCUCAGGUGGUUAGAGCGCACCCCUGAUAAGGGUGAGGUCCCUGGUUCAAGUCCAGGAUAGCCCAGGUAAGCUCAAACAAAUAAACCCCGCAUAGAUAAGGGGGUAUAGCUCAGUUGGUAGAGCGCUGCCUUUGCAAGGCAGAUGUCAGCGGUUCGAGUCCGCUUACCUCCACCAAGGGGGUAAACCAAUCAACCGAAAAACCCUAAGAAACUGAAAAAACUUGAAUUCAGCAACUAGACUUGCCUUCAAAACCUGAAAAACAGGUCUAAUAAUCAAGUCAGAAUGCUGGAGUCAAAACUCCAGUUGUUAACAGAACCUUGAAAACUGCAUAGUAAAAAGUUAAUUAAAGUCGCAAAAAGUAACUAACUUUGAAGCGUAAAGCUAGCUUGAGCGCAAGCUCAAAAAAAGCGAUACGCUACAAAACCCAAAACUGUUCAGGAAAAGCCAGUUACUUAAAAAAAAGACCACAAAAGUAACCAGCUUAAAACAAAAAAAAGUGGUCA